rnacentral:rRNA from 1 species
GCUACAAUGGACAGUACAAUGAGCAGCGACACGGCGACGUGAAGCGAAUCUCAUAAAGCUGUUCUCAGUUCGGAUUGUAGGCUGCAACUCGCCUACAUGAAGCUGGAAUCGCUUGUAAUCGCGGAUCAGCACGCCGCGGUGAAUACGUUCCCGGGCCUUGUACACACCGCCCGUCACACCACGAAAGUUUGUAACACCCGAAGUCGGUGAGGUAACCGCAAGGAGCCAACCGCCUAAGGUGGGAUAGAUGAUUGGGGUGAAGUCGUAACAAGGUAACCAAGGGCGAAUUCUG